rnacentral:rRNA from 1 species
GCUAAAUGCGGAAGAGAUAAGUGCUGAAAGCAUCUAAGCACGAAACUUGCCCCGAGAUGAGUUCUCCCUGAGACUUAGAGUCUCCUGAAGGAACGUUGAAGACGACGACGUUGAUAGGCCGGGUGUGUAAGCGCAGCGAUGCGUUGAGCUAACCGGUACUAAUGAACCGUGAGGCUUAACCUU